rnacentral:rRNA from 1 species
CUUACACAUGCAAGUCGNNNNNNCNUNNUAAUACGUCAGCGGCAGACGGGUGAGUAACGCGCGGGAACGUACCUUUUGGUUCGGAACAACACAGGGAAACUUGUGCUAAUACCGAAUAAGCCCUUACGGGGAAAGAUUUAUUGCCAAAAGAUCGGCCCGCGUCUGAUUAGCUAGUUGGUGGGGUAACGGCCCACCAAGGCGACGAUCAGUAGCUGGUCUGAGAGGAUGAUCAGCCACAUUGGGACUGAGACACGGCCCAAACUCCUACGGGAGGCAGCAGUGGGGAAUAUUGGACAAUGGGCGAAAGCCUGAUCCAGCCAUGCCGCGUGAGUGNNGAU